GUGCUGCUUCGGCAGUACACACGCUGAAAUUGGAAUGAAACAGAGAAGAUGAGCCUGGCCCCUGCACAAGGAUGACACGCAAAUUCGCAAAGCGUCCCAUAUUCUU